GUCUACGGCCAUGCCACCCUGAAUGAGCCCCAUGUCUGAUCUCGGAAGCUAAGCAGGGUCGGGCCUGGUUCGUACUUAGAUGGGAGACUAGCUAGGAAGACCAGGUACUGUAGGCA
rnacentral:rRNA from 1 species